UGUGGUGACAUCAGGUGACAUCAGGUGCUGCCAUUGUCCCAUUGGGUGUCCCCAACCCUAUGGGGUGACAUUGGGUGACAUUGGAUGGUGCCAUUGACCCGUUUGGUGUCCCCAAUCCUACGUGGUGACAUGGGGUGACAUCAAGUGGUGCCAUUGACCCGUUUGUUGUCCCCAACCCCACGUGGUGACAUCGGGUGACAUCAGGUGGUGCCACUGACUUUUUGGAUGUCCCCAACCCUCCGUGGUGACACAUCAGGUGGUGCCACUGACUUUUUGGGUGUCCCCAACCCUCCGUGGUGACAUUGGGUGACAUCAGGUGCUGCCAUUGACCCGCUGGAUGUCCCCAAACCUCCAUGGUGACAUGGGGUGACAUCAGGUGGUGCCAUUGACCCGCUGGAUGUCCCCACGCAGAUGACAAACCGCUGACGGAGGCCUACGAGGUGACAGUUGGUGGCACUUCUGGUGGCUCUCGUGUCAUCUCCACGCCCGACCUGGCGCAUUUCCUCGUGCGCUGCCUCAGCACCACCGAGUUCGAUGGCAAGAGCGUCUACGUGUGCGGGCACUACGACUGAGGGGCAGCGGGGGACACUGCGGGGACAUCCGUGGGGACGUCGCGGGGACAUCCGUGGGGGCAUUGGGGGACAUCAUGGGGGCAUUCGGGGACAUCGUGGGGACACUUUAGGGACAUUAUGGGGACAUCAGGGAGACAUUGUGGGGGACAUCCAUGGGGACAUCGCGGUGACAUCCAUGGGGGCAUUGGGGACAUCGUGGGGACACUGUGGGGACAUCGGGGGGACACUGGGGGGACAUCCAUGGGGACAUUGGGGGACGUUGGGGUCAAUGGGGUCAAUGGGGUGACACUGGGGUCAAUGGGGUCAAUGGGGUGACACUGGGGUCAAUGGGGUCAAUGGGGUGACACUGGGGUCAAUGGGGUCAAUGGGGUGACACUGGGGUCAAUGGGGUCAAUGGGGUGACACUGGGGUCAAUGGGGUCAAUGGGGUGACACUGGGGUCAAUGGGGUCAAUGGGGUGACACUGGGGUCAAUGGGGUCAAUGGGGUGACACUGGGGUCAAUGGGGUCAAUGGGGUGACACUGGGGUCAAUGGGGUCAAUGGGGUGACACUGGGGUCAAUGGGGUCAAUGGGGUGACACUGGGGUCAAUGGGGUCAAUGGGGUGACACUGGGGUCAAUGGGGUCAAUGGGGUGACACUGGGGUCAAUGGGGUCAAUGGGGUGACACUGGGGUCAAUGGGGUCAAUGGGGUGACACUGGGGUCAAUGGGGUCAAUGGGGUGACACUGGGGUCAAUGGGGUCAAUGGGGUGACACUGGAGUCAAUGGGGACAUUGGAGUCAGUGGGGCCAAUGGGGUCAAUGGGAUAGUGGGGCCAGUGGGGUCAAGGGGAUAAAUGGGUUCAGUGGGGACAUUGGAGUCAGUGGGGUCAAUGGGGUGACACUGGGGUCAAUGGGGUCAAUGGGGAGGUCUCCUAUGGGGUUUUAUAGGAGCACCGUAUGGGGUUCUGUAGGGUCU
rnacentral:lncRNA from 1 species